rnacentral:rRNA from 1 species
GAUGAACGCUGGCGGCGUGCUUAACACAUGCAAGUCGAACGAUGAAGCCCAGCUUGCUGGGUGGAUUAGUGGCGAACGGGUGAGUAACACGUGAGUAACCUGCCCUUAACUCUGGGAUAAGCCUGGGAAACUGGGUCUAAUACCGGAUAGGAGCGUCCACCGCAUGGUGGGUGUUGGAAAGAUUUAUCGGUUUUGGAUGGACUCGCGGCCUAUCAGCUUGUUGGUGAGGUAAUGGCUCACCAAGGCGACGACGGGUAGCCGGCCUGAGAGGGUGACCGGCCACAAUGGGACUGAGACACGGCCCAGAAUCCUACGGGAGGCAGCAGUGGGGAAUAUUGCACAAUGGGCGCAAGCCUGAUGCAGCGACGCCGCGUGAGGGAUGACGGCCUUCGGGUUGUAAACCUCUUUCAGUAGGGAAGAAGCGAAAGUGACGGUACCUGCAGAAGAAGCACCGGCUAACUACGUG